CUCAUGAUAUUUGCUGGCUAAUCAGUCAUUUAUUCCCUGGCUGGCUAUUGUAUGGGACCCUCCCCUCCCUAGCUKCUGGCUGAUCAGUCAUAUAACUUGGCUGUCCAUCCCAUCCAAGUGUGCGUUACGCAUUACAAGUUAACCGGAUGUAACGUAAAACUCGGUUACAWUGCAAAAUGUGUGAAAACGUGUAAUCCCAUACUGCUUUUGUUCUGCGGAAGGCCGAAAGAGCGCACUUUUUUAGUAAAGCUAGUGAAGCUGUUGAUACAAGKAAAGAAGUUGUUUUGUCACCUUAAUUUCUGACUUCGAGGAAUAGAUCGGUGCGGACUUAUUAAGUCGUGCGUUACUUGCAAGUCGCGGUGGCAUUUGUUGCGACUACGACCUUGAGGAAGGGUACCAUCAGUACCAGGGGUCGUCUUCUGAUUCUUAUAUUGAGGUACGGUUUUUACAUUUAUUUGCAAUAUUCCAACUUGGUUGUUCUCAGUGGUCAUAUAAGUGCAAAUGAUAAAACGAAACUGUACGAAACARAAAUGUUUAUUAUAUUUCACUAGAAAUGUUUACACUCGAGGUCUACCAAUACUAUUCUACUAAAAUACUUUCUAUUUUGUGAUUCAAUUUCAUAUGUUACAUAAUAAGAGGCAAUAAAUCGUGCUACUAAACUAAAUUCAUUUGAAUAAAAACAACGUUAGCUACUACGCCGUCUGGCGCCUUAUUUGAAAGUUUCAAAACCGCGUUCAUAGGGAUAGAUAACAUGGCAGAUAUCUGUCAAGAAGAACGCUGUGAUUGGCCGAUUUGUUUACUUGGCCAGAUAAAACUACCUCGCCAGGUCGUUUAAAAUGGACGCGAUUUCCGGCAUUAAAUCCUGGUUUUAGCGAGAUUUUACUAGUGAAAACACUUUACUUUUAAAGCUAGCUUUAUUUUUCGAAGGCUGUUUUCACUGUAUUUCCGGUGUUUCCCAGCUACACUAGCUUAAAAUGUCGAAGUGAAAACACCGAACACCUUUGAACAAACGCUAUCAAACUAGCCAAAGUGACUUGAAAUCUCAAUGUCAACACAGCUAAAAACUGUUUGAAUUUCACAGGCAGAGGGUAAAUCCAUUGUUUUUGACCUAGAGUUUUGGCGGGAACUUAACAUAUCAAGCCCGGCAUGGCAGGGCAUAUUUUUUAUCUUUUACCCAGUUUGUUAUUAGAUAAUAAGGUUGUUGAGAACACAAGCUUAAAUAAAACAGUUUCACUGGCUCAGCCAUUGUUUUUUGAUCGUACGAUAAUGUGAACAAUUUGUGAAGUUUUCCAGUUGGCAAUCUUGCAAUUGUUUGUACCUUCUCCAACAAAAAUACCGA